CGGUAAUCGAUCCUCUUCAGCAACUUCACCUUGUGCCUAUUUGAGAACUGCGUAUCAGAACUGCUUCAACCGAGAAAUUCCUAAAAGGGCAGUGGGAUGAAGAAGAGUGCAUUUUUGAGUGGGAGAAAUACAGACAGUCUAGUCUGUAUUUGUAACUUGUAAGAUUUUAUUUUCAGCAAGGAUUCAAUUUUUGGGGGGCAAAUUGUGAAAUUAUGUGAUGGAGUAGAGUAACUGUGUUUGUGAAAAAUUUAAGUUGCAGUACUCUUAUUUACAGCAACAUUUGGAUGAUAAGCAUCUAUGUAGGUUCUUGGAAGCUGAUGGUGUGUUGGAUUUGAAUGAUCAAGCUGAAUUCAAGAGCAAAACUGGUGUUUCUUAUGAGAUGAAAUGCUGGAAAUUUAAUGAAGUUUUCGUUUUUCGUGUGGUAGUUUUUUGUGGAUUAGUCAUUGAUUCCAACUGAUUAUGUACAUAUGUAGUGUUUAAGAAGUUGUUCUUUAUCAUAUGUUUUGGAGAUUCGUGAGCCUUGAAUGAGUUCGAUUCAGUUAUAAAGUUCGAUUAUAGAGUAGCAUUUCUAGGUAUGAAAUUGAAAGACAAUCUAGGGAUCGUCACCUUUAUUUUAAUAUGUUUUGUAUCAUCAUAGAAGACGAUAACAUUGUCAUGUUACAUGGAAA